UACAGAGGGUGCGAGCGUUAAUCGGAAUUACUGGGCGUAAAGCGCACGUAGGCGGCUUUGCAAGUCGGGUGUGAAAUCCCCGGGCUCAACCUGGGAACUGCAUCCGAGACUGCAUUGCUAGAGUAUGGGAGAGGGAAGCGGAAUUUCUGGUGUAGCAGUGAAAUGCGUAGAUAUCAGAAGGAACAUCAGUGGCGAAGGCGGCUUCCUGGACCGGUACUGACGAUCAGGUGCGAAAGCGUGGGGAGCAAACAGG
rnacentral:rRNA from 1 species